rnacentral:rRNA from 1 species
UACAGAGGUCCCGAGCGUUGUUCGGAUUCAUUGGGCGUAAAGGGCGUGUAGGCGGUUUGUUAAGUCAUGUGUGAAAUCCCUCGGCUCAACCGGGGAACGACGCAUGAAACUGGCAGCUGGAGUACCAAAGAGGGGGGUGGAAUUCCCGGUGUAGCGGUGAGAUGCGUAGAUAUCGGGAGGAACACCUGUGGCGAAGGCGGCCCCCUGGUUGGAUACUGACGCUGAUACGCGAAAGCGUGGGGAGCAAACAGGG